rnacentral:RNase_P_RNA from 1 species
CCAGACAGCCGGACGACCGCGGUUGACGCUGAUCGCGUCAGCGGAGGAAAGUCCGGGCUCCACGGGAAAACGAUGCCGGCUAACGGCCGGCGGGGGCGACCCCAGGGACAGUGCCACAGAAAACAAACCGCCCGUGCAAGACCGACUCGCGCCAGCGAUCGCGUCCCGCGGGCAAGGGCGAAACGGUGCGGCAAGAGCGCACCGCGCCUCUGGCAACAGAGGCGGCAAGGUAAACCCCAUCGGGAGCAAGACCGAAUAGGGGUGGCGGCGAUGUGUGGGGAUUUCGAUCCCGUCACGAUCGCAGGGAUUUUCCCGUCCUGCCACCCGGGUUGGUCGCGUGAGGCGCGCCGCAAGACGCGUCCCAGAGGAAUGGUCGUCCCGCCCCGUCACAGGGGCGGACAGAACCCGGCUUACAGGCUGUCUGGCCCU